rnacentral:lncRNA from 10 species
AUUUCAGGACUAUAUUAAGUUUCCCAACUUCUGUCAUGAUAUAGUCCAAAGAGAACCUGGACCACGCAGACAUCAAACAGAACAUGACACUGACCCAUUCUAUCAGUGACGUUGUGCUGAUUGCACAGGACAGAUGAGAGGCUCGUAUACUAGAAGUCUUGUUAUCCACAGAAGGAAUGAUCUGCAAUGUACACACGCCAGGACAGAAAUUCUACAGUUGCUGAUAAAAUGUAAACCUAAUGAACACCUUGACUCAUGGCUGCAUCUGCAAGGAAGAUGGGACAUCCAUUCUCACUUGUACACAGGCUAUGGGUUGUCCGGAGCCCUGAGCUGAAGACAGGCCUGCUGCUGAUCCCAGAGACAGAUGGCCAGAGUUAGGAACAGCAUGCACAAAGAAGAUCCUAAGCCUUCCUGGAGAAGUGCCAAUAUCAUCAUUUGGGGGUCUUAAAGCCAAGCUGGGGAAUAAGCGUUAUGGGGAAUGCUGAGAAGGAGAUGUUUAAUCAAGUGUGUAGGUUUAGGACUUCAGUCAAAGGGCUGCUUUUUUGCUGCUCUCAGGCAGUUUUCACUGCAUGCCUUCACCUCUGGUAUCUUCAAAGCACUCCUUGGCUUGUGCCAUUAAUACUUUACCUAAGAUUUUUAGAAAUUCUGUCUGGUCAUAUGCUACAUCCUACUUGUAUUGAAAGAACCCUUAGGAUUUCCCCUUU